GUUGAACGCUGGCGGCAGGCCUAACACAUGCAAGUCGAGCGGAUGAAGGGAGCUUGCUCCUGGAUUCAGCGGCGGACGGGUGAGUAAUGCCUAGGAAUCUGCCUGGUAGUGGGGGAUAACGUCCGGAAACGGGCGCUAAUACCGCAUACGUCCUGAGGGAGAAAGUGGGGGAUCUUCGGACCUCACGCUAUCAGAUGAGCCUAGGUCGGAUUAGCUAGUUGGUGGGGUAAAGGCCUACCAAGGCGACGAUCCGUAACUGGUCUGAGAGGAUGAUCAGUCACACUGGAACUAAGACACGGUCCAGACUCCUACGGGAGGCAGCAGUGGGGAAUAUUGGGCAAUGGGCGAAAGCCUGAUCCAGCCAUGCCGCGUGUGUGAAGAAGGUCUUCGGAUUGUAAAGCACUUUAAGUUGGGAGGAAGGGCAGUAAGUUAAUACCUUGCUGUUUUGACGUUACCAACAGAAUAAGCACCGGCUAACUUCGUG
rnacentral:rRNA from 1 species